rnacentral:rRNA from 1 species
AUUGAACGCUAGCGGGAUGCUUUACACAUGCAAGUCGAACGGCAGCGCGGACUUCGGUCUGGCGGCGAGUGGCGAACGGGUGAGUAAUGUAUCGGAACGUGCCCAGUAGCGGGGGAUAACUACGCGAAAGCGUAGCUAAUACCGCAUACGCCCUACGGGGGAAAGCAGGGGAUCGUAAGACCUUGCACUAUUGGAGCGGCCGAUAUCGGAUUAGCUAGUUGGUGAGGUAACGGCUCACCAAGGCGACGAUCCGUAGCUGGUUUGAGAGGACGACCAGCCAACGGGGGAGUGAGACACGGCCGCGACCCCUAGGGGAGGCCGCAGGGGGAAAUUUUGGAAAAGGGGGGCAACCCUGUGCCAACCACCCCACGGGUGGGAUGAAGGCCUUCGGGUUGAAAAGACCUUUUGGGAGGAAAGAAACGUCGCGGGCUAAAACCCCGUGGAAAGGAGGGGACCGGCAGAAUAAGCCCCGGCGAACUAAGU